rnacentral:rRNA from 1 species
GACGAACGCUGGCGGCGUGCUUAACACAUGCAAGUCGAACGAUGAAGGAGAGCUUGCUCUCCGGAUUAGUGGCGAACGGGUGAGUAACACGUGACUAACCUGCCCCUUUCUCUGGGAUAACGCACCGAAAGGAGUGCUAAUACCGGAUACGAACUCUGAACACAUGUUCGGAGUUGGAAUGUUUUUCGGAAAGGGAUGGAGUCGCGGCCUAUCAGCUGGUUGGUGAGGAAACGGCUCACCAAGGCGACGACGGGUAGCCGACCUGAGAGGGCGACCGGCCACACUGGGACUGAGACACGGCCCAGACUCCUACGGGAGGCAGCAGUGGGGAAUAUUGCACAAUGGGCGAAAGCCUGAUGCAGCGACGCCGCGUGAGGGAUGAAGGUCUUCGGAUUGUAAACCUCUUUCAGUAGGGACGAAGCGAAAGUGACGGUACCUAAAGAAGAAGCACCGGCUAACUACGUGCCAGCAGCCGCCGUAA